rnacentral:rRNA from 1 species
AACGAACGCUGGCGGUAUGCCUAACACAUGCAAGUCGAACGAGACCUUCGGGUCUAGUGGCGCACGGGUGCGUAACGCGUGGGAAUCUGCCCUUGGGUCUGGAAUAACAGUUAGAAAUGACUGCUAAUACCGGAUGAUGACUUCGGUCCAAAGAUUUAUCGCCCAGGGAUGAGCCCGCGUCGGAUUAGCUAGUUGGUGGGGUAAAAGCUCACCAAGGCGACGAUCCGUAGCUGGUCUGAGAGGAUGAUCAGCCACACUGGGACUGAGACACGGCCCAGACUCCUACGGGAGGCAGCAGUGGGGAAUAUUGGACAAUGGGCGAAAGCCUGAUCCAGCAAUGCCGCGUGAGUGAUGAAGGCCUUAGGGUUGUAAAGCUCUUUUACCCGGGAUGAUAAUGGCAGUACCGGGAGAAUAAGCCCCGGCUAACUCCGUGCCAGCCGCCGCUGUAAAAC